AGAGUUUGAUCAUGGCUCAGAACGAACGCUGGCGGCGUGCCUAACACAUGCAAGUUGAACGGAUUCCGAAGGAGUAGCAAUACUUUUUCGGGAUUAGUGGCGGACGGGUGAGUAACACGUAGGUAACCUACCCUUAAGCCGGGGACAACCCCGAGAAAUCGGGGCUAAUACCCGAUGGGACCACGGACUGAGAUGUCAGUGGUAAAAGGAGCGAUUCACUUAAGGAUGGGCCUGCGGCCUAUCAGGUAGUUGGUGAGGUAAUGGCUCACCAAGCCAAAGACGGGUAGCCGGGCUGAGAGGUUGGACGGCCACACUGGAACUGAGAUACGGUCCAGACUCCUACGGGAGGCAGCAGUGGGGAAUAUUGCGCAAUGGGGGAAACCCUGACGCAGCGACGCCGCGUGGAGGAUGAAGGUCUUCGGGUUGUAAACUCCUUUUCUCAGGGAAAAUAGUGAUGGUACCUGAGGAAUAAGCCACGGCUAACUCCGUGCCAGCAGCCGCGGUAAGACAGAGGUGGCAAGCGUUGUUCGGAAUUACUGGGCUUAAAGGGCGAGUAGGCGGUAGGGCAAGUCUGAGGUGGAAUCCUAUGGCUUAACCAUAGAAUUGCCUUGGAAACUGCUUUACUUGAGUCAGUGAGGGGAGGGCGGAAUUCCUGGUGUAGCGGUGAAAUGCGUAGAUAUCAGGAGGAAGGCCUGUGGCGAAGGCGGCCCUCUGGCACUGAACUGACGCUGAGGCGCGAAAGCGUGGGUAGCAAACAGGAUUAGAUACCCUAGUAGUCC
rnacentral:rRNA from 1 species